ensembl:lncRNA
UGGAAUUGGGCCCAGGGUUCUGCUGAUUGGUUGAGGCUACGUGAGGUCAGCCAGGUGUAGAUCAUUUGGUGUAGAUCAAGUCCCAUUAAAAACUCCAUAAUGUGCACAAGGUAGACUGCUAGAUUAUCAAUCAUCUUUUUCAGAAAAAAAUAAUCAGGGAAGACGUCACAUACCUGUAGCGGUAAAUGGAAGUUGUUGCUAUGGUGACGGUAGGAUGCAACAAGCAUGAGUACCUGUUAAGUUCAACAUCGCAUGAGGAGUACUCAGAUGACGAGAUCUCAACCAAGAAAGAGAUGCACUGGAGACUUGGACCAGAGAACCACGACGAUACUGUCCUGUAUGACUUUGAGAUGGCCUGUGAUACCCAGGAGGAGAUACUGGUGAAGUCUGCAGAUAAUGGUGUGGCCUGUCUAACACAGACAGACCCUGUGUUGCAUGAUUGGGGUGGUUUUGGUUCAUUUUAAUACUUGUAUGAAAUAUUAAAUGGCUCUAACAUUAUUGCAAAACAGUAAGCAAUUAUUUAUUUUAGGUGACCUCCUGGUCAUACUGCAGUUAACUCCUUAAUACCAACAUUUCAUAGGAAAUUGUCAUACAAAAAAAGUAGACCAUUGAGCCGAAUCAGUAGUUUUGACUAUUUACAAUAAAGUAACAAAGCGCGCACUGUUUUGAAAUGUUUGAUUCGGUAUCUGGGGCAAAUAAAACCACAACCAUAAUUCUUGUGAUACAGGAUAUUUAAGUUAUUAAUGAACAGUCUGAGCAUCAUGGGUUUACUGUAAUACUGGUCUCUGGCCGAAUAAUCACUUCUAUUGAACCUAGAAGUCUCUUGAAGCCAUGCUAGCGUUAUGUGCCCGUCCAGGUGUGUUAGCCAUGCUAGUGUUAUGUGCCCGUCCAGGUGUGUUAGCCAUGCUAGUGUUAUGUGCCCGUCCAGGUGUGUUAGCCAUGCUAGCGUUAUGUAGCCUGUCCAGGUGUAGAUCAGGAAGUAUUAACUCGGUGUGUCAUGUACUUUCCUGUGGAGACAUUUAGGACAAACUGUACACUAAAACAAAAUGACCCCACCCCAAACAGUUUGUUGCACUCAUUUAUCUGAGGUGCUUUCAAUUACUGGUUACUCAACUUGGGUGUUGUCACAUGGUACUACCACAUAACUCAGGACUCCAGUCUAAUGUUUUUUCUUUGUUUUCUAGGUGGCGGUGGAGUUCAUCACCCAUGAUGCCCUGUCGAGAUCAAUAUCACCCGAGGAGUACUCCGACGAUGAGAUAUCAACCAAGAAGGCGACGCAUUGGAGACUUGGACCAGCGGAUCACUGUGAUACUAUUCCCUACACGGGCAACUUGAACCAUAGUGUUGCUGUUCGCUUUGACUUUGAUAAUACUGUUCUGUAUGACUUUGACAUGGACCGUGAUACCCAGGAGGAGGAGAUGGUGAAGUCUGCCGAGGAUGAAGUGUCCUGUCGAGUACACAGAUACAGGUUGUGUAGUAUGGAUAGACCCUCUGUUGGCUGAUUGUGGGAUGUGUUGUGGCUGUUUUUUAAAAUAUUUUUUUACAUAUGUAAUGUCUAAAUAUCUUUAUGAAUGAUUAAAAUUGAUUAUUAUUAUUUGGGCUUUUAUUCAACACUAUAUUCGAUCCAAUCCAGGCAAAGUCUUAUUCUAGCAGGUAACCUAAAACAUUUCAUAAGAUUGACAAAUGUAAUAAAAAGUCAUCUCUAAACAUAAUGUACACCUGGAGAUUACCCUACAAGAGACUACCUAGUAAAGCUAUUUUAAGGAUUGAUCGUUUAAAAAAAU